AUCUGGACCCAGCCAGGAGAUUCACUGGGGCAUCUCCUAGAACUUCUCACCCCAUAGUAACUAACAAUGGACAACCUCAACACUGACAGUUCUAAAAGGACAGGGCAACCAAGGAAUUGGGGAUAGGAGUCUGUGUAAUCUCAUCAGGCAGGUAGCCCAGCUCUGCAGAGGGGUAGCUGAAGUAAGCGAGGGAAAGAGAGAAUAUGAAUUAUGGACUAGGACAAGCCAUAGCCUUGGGGACCGUGGCUCGCUUCAUUAGCCCUCUUGCCUCUAUCUUCCUUAAGAUCACAUCCGGCGCUACCUUUGAGGGGACUUGCUUACCGUAGACUCUACCUCCACUCUCGAGGAAAGAGUGAUGGUCCUUAUCAUGGUAUGGAAGUUGGCUAUAACGGGAGGGUUCCAGUGGAUCCUAGUGGCCCAAGAGGUGAGAUUUCUUCUCAAAUUCCUUGACUGCCUCCUUGCUCUCUCUGAGGUUGCGCCUCCACUUCCAGACUUAGACGAGAUGCCGCACUGUGCAAGGUGGAAUGUGGUUUCUAAGAACCACCAAGGGUCAGAUAACAGAACCCAGAAGCGUGGGGUGUUGACUCUGUGGGGUGAACCUUGACCCAUGGAAGACAGGCCAUGGAUGGGAGCUGUGGACUUCUCCAAGGUGUGUUUCCUCCUUACCCUCCGGAGAAGCCCCACCGCCUGCUGCGAGACACCUUCUGAGCAAGCAGCCUGGGUAUCUUUUUGAGGCUCCUGUGAAUCGGUGAUCAGGACGCUUCCAGGGUCAUCCCUGUCAUUCUUCUGCCUCCAGGCAAAGCCCCACUUCUGCAGUUUUCAAAGGAGAAAGAAGAGUCUUACUUGUUGACCAGGCUAGAGUGAGUGCCG